rnacentral:rRNA from 1 species
AGCGGGKUCUCGCGACUAAUCCGAGGUCAGUCAGUCAGUCAGUCAGCCAGCCAGCCAGCCAGCCAGCCAGCCAGCCAGUGAAUUUGUGCAUUUGUAUGCASRGGGGCAGRUAGUGAUGUMACAKUGCASGSUGAGGGGAUCACUCGCACAUUCAGAUAGCACAGGSACAGGGGGUCGGGGUUUGUGWAUUGSACACACACACACACACACACACACACACACACACCCAGCUCUCCACUUUUUCCUUUGCUUCCAUCUCCAYCWCCCWAUUUUMCCACDHYAUGCAACGCUACGCCARAMGGAGAAGGAAASAAGAAGCGGUGGCGGUGGCGGUGGCGGUGGCGGUAACAACAACCACUGUAGCACAAUCAUCACCGCUGCACACACCUUCAAGAGAAGCCGCAUGCGCAGUGCACGCACACACCCACUCACGGAGAAUGCUASAUSACAGCACAGCACAGCACGGCAUCGCACAACACGGCAGUCCCUCAAGCCGCUGCUUUCGUUACGCACAGUGAUAGUUUGUAAGCCGACGCUCGGAUA